rnacentral:rRNA from 1 species
CAGGGAAUCUUGCACAAUGGGCGAAAGCCUGAUGCAGCGACGCCGCGUGGGGGAUGAAGGCCUUAGGGUCGUAAACCCCUUUCAGCAGGGACGAAAAUGACGGUACCUGCAGAAGAAGCCCCGGCCAACUACGUGCCAGCAGCCGCGGUAAGACGUAGGGGGCGAGCGUUGUCCGGAUUUAUUGGGCGUAAAGAGCUCGUAGGCGGUUGCGUAAGUCGGAUGUGAAAACUCAGGGCUCAACCCUGAGACGCCAUCCGAUACUGCGCUGACUUGAAUCCAGUAGGGGAGUGUGGAAUUCCUGGUGUAGCGGUGAAAUGCGCAGAUAUCAGGAGGAACACUCAUGGCGAAGGCAGCACUCUGGGCUGGUAUUGACGCUGAGGAGCGAAAGCAUGGGUAGCGAACAGGAUUAGAUACCCCCGUAGUCCCUGAGCGGGCUGGCAAGGCGCAU